rfam:Triticum aestivum genome assembly, contig: Triticum_aestivum_CS42_TGACv1_scaffold_576818_7BL
CAAGUACACCCUCUGUCCGGAAUUACUUUUCAUCAAAAUGGAUGUGUCUAGAACUAAAAUACAUCUAGAUACAUCCAUUUCAAUGACAAGUAUUUUCGGACGGAGGGAGUACAAG